GCUGGAAUAGCUCAGUUGGUUAGAGCGUGUGGCUGUUAACCUCAAGGUCGGAGGUUAGCCCUCCUUCUAGCU
rnacentral:tRNA from 1 species